rnacentral:rRNA from 1 species
CCUACGGGGGGCAGCAGUGAGGAAUAUUGGUCAAUGGACGAGAGUCUGAACCAGCCAAGUAGCGUGAAGGAUGACUGCCCUAUGGGUUGUAAACUUCUUUUAUAUGGGAAUAAAAUGUUCCACGUGUGGGAUUUUGUAUGUACCAUAUGAAUAAGGAUCGGCUAACUCCGUGCCAGCAGCCGCGGUAAUACGGAGGAUCCGAGCGUUAUCCGGAUUUAUUGGGUUUAAAGGGAGCGUAGGUGGAUUGUUAAGUCAGUUGUGAAAGUUUGCGGCUCAACCGUAAAAUUGCAGUUGAAACUGGCAGUCUUGAGUACAGUAGAGGUGGGCGGAAUUCGUGGUGUAGCGGUGAAAUGCUUAGACAUCACGAAGAACUCCGAUUGCGAAGGCAGUUCACUGGACUGCAACUGACACUGAGGCUCGAAAGUGUGGGUAUCAAACAGGAUUAGAUACCCCUGUAGUC